rnacentral:rRNA from 1 species
AAUGAACGCUGGCGGCGCGCCUAAUACAUGCAAGUCGAGCGAGAAGACGUAGCAAUACGUUUGUAAAGCGGCGAACGGGUGAGGAAUACAUGGGUAACCUACCCUCGAGUGGGGAAUAACUAGCCGAAAGGUUAGCUAAUACCGCGUACGCUUCUUGGACUUCGGUUCAGGGAGGAAAGCGAUGCCGAGGGUAUCGCGCUCUUGGAUGGGCUCAUGUCCUAUCAGCUUGUUGGGAGGUAACGGCUCACCAAGGCUUCGACGGGUAGCUGGUCUGAGAGGACGAUCAGCCACACUGGCACUGCGACACGGGCCAGACUCCUACGGGAGGCAGCAGUAAGGAAUAUUGCGCAAUGGGCGAAAGCCUGACGCAGCGACGCCGCGUGGGGGAUGAAGGUCUUCGGAUUGUAAACCCCUUU